CCCAACUAUCCCUAUUAAUCAUUACGGUGAUCCUAGAAACCAACAAAAUAGAACCAUGCCGUCCUAUUUUAUUAUUCCAUGCUAAUCUAUUCAAGCACUAGCCUGCUUUAAGCCCUCUAAUUUUUUCAAGGUAAUAGCUCUGCUUCCCCAACGCCCCAAAUUAAUGGCAUGCUGGUUAUUCAGAAGGUAAGAAUCCAUCAAAUCAGUGCGGACAAUGAAGCCCGACCGAUAGACAAUCCCGAAAUUCAACU
rnacentral:rRNA from 1 species